rnacentral:rRNA from 1 species
AUUGAACGCUGGCGGCAUGCUUUACACAUGCAAGUCGGACGGCAGCACAGAGAAGCUUGCUUCUUGGGUGGCGAGUGGCGAACGGGUGAGUAACAUAUCGGAACGUACCGAGCAGUGGGGGAUAACUAAUCGAAAGAUUAGCUAAUACCGCAUAUCUUCUGAGGAAGAAAGCAGGGGACCAUUUGGCCUUGCGCUGUUUGAGCGGCCGAUAUCUGAUUAGCUAGUUGGUGGGGUAAAGGCCUACCAAGGCGACGAUCAGUAGCGGGUCUGAGAGGAUGAUCCGCCACACUGGGACUGAGACACGGCCCAGACUCCUAGGGGAGGCAGCGGUGGGGAAUUUUGGACAAUGGGCGAAAGCCUGAUCCAGCCAUGCCGCGUGUCUGAAGAAGGCCUUCGGGUUGUAAAGGACUUUUGUCAGGGAAGAAAGGGCGGGGUUAAUACCCCUGUCUGAUGACGGUACCUGAAGAAUAAGCACCGGCUAACUACGUG